rnacentral:rRNA from 1 species
UAACGAAUCUUCCGCAAUGCACGAAAGUGUGACGGAGCGACGCCGCGUGUGGGACGAAGUCCUUCGGGAUGUAAACCACUGUCAGGGGUUACCAAGUUCUGAGGAGCCCCAGAGGAAGGCACGGCUAACUCUGUGCCAGCAGCCGCGGUAAGACAGAGGUGCCGAGCGUUAGGCGGAAUCACUGGGCUUAAAGCGUGUGUAGGCGGGUCGUUAAGUGUCUUGUGAAAUCCCACCGCUCAACGGUGGAACUGCUGGGCAUACUGGCGAUCUUGAGCCACCUAGGGGCAGACGGAACAAGCGGUGGAGCGGUGAAAUGCGUAGAUAUCGCUUGGAACGCCGACGGUGAAAACAGUCUGCUGGGGGUGUGCUGACGCUGAGACACGAAAGCCAGGGGAGCGAACGGGAUUAGAUACCCCGGUAGUCC